GCCCGGGUGGCGGAACUGGUGUACGCGGUCGGCUUAAACCCGACUGCCCCUCGUGGGCGUGUGGGUUCGAAUCCCACCCCGGGCA
rnacentral:tRNA from 1 species